GAUGAAGAACGCAGCGAAAUGCGAUAAGUAAUGCGAAUUGCAGAAUUUCCGUGAGUCAUCGAAUCUUUGAACGCACAUUGCGCCCACUGGUAUUCCGGUGGGCAUGCCUGUUCGAGCGUCAUUAUCCCCCCUCAAACCCCGUGUUUGGUGUUAGACCCAAGUUGUGUGAACAACUGGUCUCAAAGACAAUGACGGCGUCCGUGGGACCCUCGGUGCAACGAGCUUUUAGGAGCACGCGAUGAGUUUCAAGGACCCUCCGGGCCGGUCUCCUAUUUAUCAUCAAGGUUGACCUCGGAUCAGGUAGGAAUACCCGCUGAACUUAAGCAUAUCAAUAAGCGGAGGA
rnacentral:misc_RNA from 1 species